rnacentral:tRNA from 1 species
GGAUAGCUCAGUUGGUAGAGCAUCGGAUCCAGAUUCCGAAUGUCGCGGGUUCAACUCCUGCUCCA